rnacentral:rRNA from 1 species
UCUGGAGAAGCGUCAUCCGAGUCGGUCCGCAUACAAGUCCCCUGGAACGGGGUGUCAUAGAGGGUGAGAAUCCCGUCUCUGAUGCGGUCCCCGGCUCUCUACGAUGCGCUCUCGAAGAGUCGAGUUGUUUGGGAAUGCAGCUCAAAACGGGUGGUAAACUCCAUCUAAAGCUAAAUAUUGGCGAGAGACCGAUAGCGAACAAGUACCGUGAGGGAAAGAUGAAAAGCACUUUGGAAAGAGAGUCAAACAGUACGUGAAAUUGUUGAAAGGGAAACGAUUGAAGUCAGUCGCGUCCGUCGGGGUUCAACCUCGCUCUGCAUGGUGCAAUUCCCGGUCGGACGGGUCAACGUCGAUUUCGGCCGUCGUACAAGGGCCGGGGGAAUGUGGCAUCUUCGGGUGUGUUAUAGCCUCCGGUCGCAUGCGUCGUUCGGGAUCGAGGACCUCAGCGCGCCUUCACGGUCGGGGCUGCGGCCCACGUAACGCGCUCAGGACGUUGACGUAAUGGCUUUAACCGACCCGUCUUGAAACACGGACCAAGGAGUCUAACACGUCCGCGAGUGUUUGGGUGCGAAACCCGAGCGCGCAAUGAAAGUG